rnacentral:lncRNA from 1 species
CCGUCAGGUGUUGCUGAUUUUCUGUCCCAUUAAAUCAUUAUCUCCUUUUAUUUAUUAUUUCAAGUAAAAUUAGUUUUGCCAACUCGUCCUCCUUUUCACCAAAUGUUCCCUUCUGAAUUAGACUCGUCGCAGGGUGUGUACUUACAUGAGUAACACGACGGAUGCCUUAUGAAGAGGAGGAUCUGAAGUCAACAUGUUUUUUCCUUUUUUUUCUUUUCUUCUUUUUUUUAGAAGGGAGAUCAAGGGUCGGGGGUCGGCGGCGGUGUUCGUGUUGCUCAGUCUUUAAUUUUGUAUGUUGUUGUUUGUGUUUUGGUCUAUUUUAAAAUGUGCCCUGGCGUUGUAGAUUUGAUUUUGAGCAAUACAGAGGUUGUCUUUUAUCUUAAAAUGACAAGAUUGUAAUCAUGAGAAGAGAUAGACAAAUUAUGUUCAAAUUGAGACCAAUAUACAAAGAAGAUGAUUUGGUAUGAUUGACAAUGAGAUAACUAUCCACCAGAAACAUUAUAACGUAGAAGUUAGCAUCGUUAGGUCAGCAUAUGACCCUUAACAAUGACCAAAACCGACAUCGAGUAGCAAGACAUAAA